GAUGAACGCUGGCGGCGUGCCUAAUACAUGCAAGUCGAGCGAACAGAUAAGGAGCUUGCUCCUUUGACGUUAGCGGCGGACGGGUGAGUAACACGUGGGUAACCUACCUAUAAGACUGGGAUAACUUCGGGAAACCGGAGCUAAUACCGGAUAACAUUUGGAACCGCAUGGUUCUAAAGUGAAAGAUGGUUUUGCUAUCACUUAUAGAUGGACCCGCGCCGUAUUAGCUAGUUGGUAAGGUAACGGCUUACCAAGGGAACGAUUCGUAGCCGACCGGAGAGGCGGAUCGGCCACACUGGAGCUGAGCCACGGUCCAGGCUCCUACGGUAGGCAGCAGUAGGGAAUCUUCCGCAAAGGGCGAAAGCCUGACGGAGCAACGCCGCGUGAGUGAUGAAGGGUUUCGGUUCGUAAAACUCUGUUAUUAGGGAAGAACAAACGUGUAAGUAACUGUGCACGUCUUGACGGUACCUAAUCAGAAAGCCACGGCUAACUACGUG
rnacentral:rRNA from 1 species